AUGCUUAAGAUUGAUCUAGCUAAAGCCUUUGAUCAUUUGGAAUGGAACUUCAUAUGCUCUGCUCUAGCACGUAAGGGGUUGCAUAAUCACUUUAUUAAUUUAAUUCAUGCUUGUAUUGCAACUCAUGUUUUCUUGAUUAUCAUUAAUGGGCAAUCAUAUGCGAAGUUCAGAAGUAGCAGAGGAAUUAGGCAAGGUUGUCCUCUGUCGCCAUAUCUUUUUAUCCUUUCCAUUAAUGAAUUUUCGAUCUCUUUACAAGAAGCUAUGUUCUCCAAUCACUUGUCAGGUAUCUCUCUUGGUCCAAACUGCCCCUCCAUUCAUUCACUUAUGUUUGCAGAUGAUCUUUUGGUUUGUAGUCAGGCUACCAUUCAAGAAGCAAUCACCAUGAAUCAACUCAUCCAAUCUUUCUGUGCUACCUCAGGUCAGAUCCCUAAUUCGAAUAAAUAUGGAAUUCUUUUUAGCAGAGGGGUGGAUAGCAACACUGAACGAUCUAUUCGGGACAUUUUUCCGGUCUCAAAAAUAGAUCACAAAUUCAUCCAUCUUGGGCACCCUCUCAUUCUUCCUUCUAAAGACAGAUCCACAGCCUACAGCUUUGUCAUAGAUAAAUUCAAGGCUAAACUUCCAAGUUAUAAGGCUAAUAAACUCUCAUGCGACUAG
rnacentral:rRNA from 1 species